UACGUAGGGGGCAAGCGUUGUCCGGAAUUAUUGGGCGUAAAGAGCGUGUAGGCGGCCAGGUAGGUCUGCUGUGAAAACUCGAGGCUCAACCUCGAGACGUCGGCGGAAACCAUCUGGCUAGAGUCCGGAAGAGGAGUGUGGAAUUCCUGGUGUAGCGGUGAAAUGCGCAGAUAUCAGGAAGAACACCUAUGGCGAAGGCAGCACUCUGGGACGGUACUGACGCUGAGACGCGAAAGCGUGGGGAGCGAACAGG
rnacentral:rRNA from 1 species